rnacentral:rRNA from 1 species
UAGUCCGCGCCGUAAACGAUGAUAACUAGCUGUUCGGGUUCACAGAACUUGAGUGGCGCAGCUAACGCAUUAAGUUAUCCGCCUGGGGAGUACGGUCGCAAGAUUAAAACUCAAAGGAAUUGACGGGGGCCUGCACAAGCGGUGGAGCAUGUGGUUUAAUUCGAUGAUACGCGAGGAACCUUACCUGGGCUCUAAUGCGAGCGCUAUUCUGUGAAAGCAGAAGUUCCUUCGGGACGCAAAGCAAGGUGCUGCAUGGUUGUCGUCAGCUCGUGCCGUGAGGUGUUGGGUUAAGUCCCGCAACGAGCGCGACCCACAUCUUUAGUUGCCAGCAGUUCGGCUGGGCACUCUAAAGAAACUGCCCGUGAUAAGCGGGAGGAAGGUGUGGAUGACGUCAAGUCCUCAUGGCCCUUACGGGUUGGGCUACACACGUGCUACAAUGGCAGUGACAAUGGGUUAAUCCCAAAAAGCUGUCUCAGUUCGGAUUGGGGUCUGCAACUCGACCCC